AACGUAGGACACAAGCGUUAUCCGGAGUUACUGGGCGUAAAGGGUGCGUAGGUGGCGCCGUAAGUCGGGUGUGAAAUUUCGGAGCUUAACUCCGAAACUGCAUUCGAUACUGCGGUGCUUGAGGACUGGAGAGGAGACUGGAAUUCAUGGUGUAGCAGUGAAAUGCGUAGAGAUCAUGAGGAAGACCAGUGGCGAAGGCGGGUCUCUGGACAGUUCCUGACACUGAGGCACGAAGGCCAGGGGAGCAAACGGG
rnacentral:rRNA from 1 species